rnacentral:rRNA from 1 species
AGAGUUUGAUCAUGGCUCAGGACAAACGCUGGCGGCGUGCAUAAAACAUGCAAGUCGAACGGGCCAAUCCCCGCAAGGGGAAAGGCUAGUGGCGAACGGCUGAGUAACACGUAGGUGACCUGCCCUGAAGUGGGGGAUAACGACUCGAAAGAGUCGCUAAUACCGCAUGUGACCACCGAUUCAUUUCGGUGCUCAAAGUCGCAAGACGCUUUUGGAGGGGCCUGCGGCGGAUUAGCUAGAUGGUGGGGUAACGGCUCACCAUGGCGUCGAUCCGUAGCUGGUCUGAGAGGAUGGCCAGCCAGACUGGGACUGAGACGCGGUCCAGACACCUACGGGUGGCAGCAGUCGAGAAUUUUUCUCAAUGGGGGAAACCCUGAAGGAGCGACGCCGCGUGGAGGAUGAAGGUUUUCGGAUUGUAAACUCCUGUCAUUAGGGAGCAAUUCUUCGGGGAGUAACUGCCCUGGAGUUGAUAGUACCUGAAGAGGAAGGGACGGCUAACUCUGUGCCAGCAGCCGCGGUAAUACAGAGGUCCCAAGCGUUGUUCGGAUUCAUUGGGCGUAAAGGGUGCGUAGGCGGCGAGGUAAGUUGGAUGUGAAAUCCCGGGGCUCAACCCCGGAACUGCAUUCAAUACUGCUUUGCUAGAGUAUUGGAGAGGAGAUUGGAAUUCACGGUGUAGCAGUGAAAUGCGUAGAUAUCGUGAGGAAGACCAGUGGCGAAGGCGAAUCUCUGGACAAUAACUGACGCUGAGGCACGAAGGCUAGGGGAGCAAACGGGAUUAGAUACCCCGGUAGUCCUAGCAGUAAACGGUGCACGUUUAGUAUGGGAGAAAUCGACCCCUUCCGUGCUGGAGCUAACGCGUUAAACGUGCCGCCUGGGGAGUACGGUCGCAAGAUUAAAACUCAAAGAAAUUGACGGGGGCCCGCACAAGCGGUGGAGUAUGUGGCUUAAUUCGAUGCAACGCGAAGAACCUUACCUGGCCUCGACAUGCAUCUCUAAGUCGGUGAAAGCCGGCGAGUGUAGCAAUACGCAAUUUGCACAGGUGCUGCAUGGCUGUCGUCAGCUCGUGUCGUGAGAUGUUGGGUUAAGUCCCGCAACGAGCGCAACCCCUGUGGUUAGUUGCCACCGGCCCGCGAGGGUCGCGCACUCUAAUCAGACUGCCCUGUGAAACGGGGAGGAAGGUGGGGAUGACGUCAAGUCAGGAUGGCCCUUACGGCCAGGGCUGCACACGUACUACAAUGCUCAGUACAGAAAGAACCGAGACCGCGAGGUGGAGGAAAUCACAAAAACUGAGCCCAAUUCGGAUUGCAGGCUGCAACUCGCCUGCAUGAAGCCGGAAUCGCUAGUAAUGGCGCAUCAGCUACGGCGCCGUGAAUACGUUCCCGGGCCUUGUACACACCGCCCGUCACAUCAUGGGAGUCACUUGUACCCGAAGUCAGUGAGCCAACCGCAAGGGGGCAGCUGCCUAAGGUAUGAGCGGUAACUGGGAUGAAGUCGUAACAAGGUAACCGU